rnacentral:rRNA from 1 species
GAUGAACGCUAGCUACAGGCUUAACACAUGCAAGUCGAGGGGAAACGAUGAGAGAGCUUGCUCUCUUAGGCGUCGACCGGCGCACGGGUGAGUAACGCGUAUCCAACCUACCCAUUACAGGGGGAUAACCUUGCGAAAGUAAGACUAAUACCCCAUGGCAUUUUAUGGUGGCAUCAUUAUAGGAUUAAAGAUUUAUUGGUAAUGGAUGGGGAUGCGUCUGAUUAGCUUGUUGGCGGGGUAACGGCCCACCAAGGCAACGAUCAGUAGGGGUUCUGAGAGGAAGGUCCCCCACAUUGGAACCGAGACACGGUCCAAACUCCUACGGGAGGCAGCAGUGAGGAAUAUUGGUCAAUGGGCGAGAGCUUGAACCAGCCAAGUAGCGUGCAGGAUGACGGCCCUAUGGGUUGUAAACUGCUUUUAUAGGGGAAUAAAGUGAGCUACGUGUAGUUUAUUGCAUGUACCCUAUGAAUAAGGACCGGCUAAUUCCGUG